UACGGAGGGUGCAAGCGUUAUCCGGAUUUACUGGGUUUAAAGGGUGUGUAGGCGGGCUUUUAAGUCAGUGGUGAAAUCUCCGGGCUCAACCUGGAAACUGCCAUUGAUACUAUUAGUCUUGAAUUCUGUUGAGGUUGGCGGAAUAAGUCAUGUAGCGGUGAAAUGCAUAGAUAUGACUUAGAACACCGAUUGCGAAGGCAGCUAACUAAGCAGAUAUUGACGCUGAGGCACGAAAGCGUGGGGAUCAAACAGG
rnacentral:rRNA from 1 species